AGGUUCUGGAGGCACAUCUAAAGAAAUGGGAGAAGAAUCAGUAUCUGAAGAUGACAAGCGCAGGAAUUAUGGAGGCGUUUAUGUGGGAAUACCAGUUGAUGCAGCCUCUGCUUUGUGUAGCAAAUCCAACGAUGGACAAAAAGGUAAGAAGAGAAGCGGAAGACAUAGAUGAAGAAAAAGAAGGAAAAGAAAGAGAUAGAGGAAAUAGUCAUCAGUCAUAUUUACCAUUUACUAGACCUUUUAUCUAACAUUUAACAAAAUAAAGCCAUUUUUAAAGUUGUAUAUUUAACCUCACGUCUAAAGCCUAUUUGCUAUAUUUCUUGUAUAUGUAAUCUUCCCAAAUAAAAUUUAAUUCAAGACUUUA